rnacentral:tRNA from 1 species
GGUGUUGCUAAGUGGUAUAGUGCAUGCUUUGUAUGUAUGAUGCCCUGGGUUCAACCCACAGGACGCUG